rnacentral:lncRNA from 1 species
UCAGCUCCACAUAUUUUUGUACAGUCAAAACGUCAAAUUUCAUUGAAUCAGUUAUAAAUAAAGUAUUAUGUGUCAAUGGUCAUUAUCCCUACAGCCUAAUUGUAAAUGAAGUUGAUGACCUCUUUCAGUUUAAUGACGUAAACAUACUGGUCCAAAGCAUCAACUUUUGGAUAGGCCUUUCAUUUCUUCUCUGCAUUGAUUGUCUUGGUUAUGGAUUCGUUAGCUCGGACCUUCCCCGCCUCCACCUUUUCAUUUCCACAACGAUUUUGGCUUUUUCCUGCUCCAACGAGUAGUUAAGGCAGUCUUCUUAUCAACCCAUUUCGCCUCAGCCUCCUAAGAGAAAGCUCUUCGCUCUUCGGCAGCUUGAUACAUAACCAGAGCAUCAUCUCUGAUCUUCUGGAUGGCCUGUAACUCAGCUUUCACCUAAGUGCAGUUCAAAUAAAAUGAGAAGACAAAUGACUCGAUAAAAAUGAGCACGUCGUAACGAAGACAAUCAAGAAAUUAUACUUUCUCCGAAAUUGACGUCAUAUGGAGAACAGAAUGGUGGUAAUAAACGACUGUCAUGAUACAUGACUCAUUCGCGCUCAUUUGGCCUAGGAAGCCCUACUCACGAUUGGUCCAACUUUGGGCAAGCAGGCAAGCUGAGUUACUAAAGAGAGGAGGUAGGGAUCGGGUCAUUGCCGUGGAUGGAGGAGACUUGUAGAAGGCUAGAAGCGCCUUAGCUUGGCCCUCGCCCUCUGUGAGCUCGUCCAAAUUUGACCAAGGCAUGCUACUGGAAGAGUUGGCCUUUGAUCGCCAAGUAAAGAGACCUUAGGCUUGACUUGUGCCUUCUUCUUUUGUCACGUGGAAGGAUAAUAGGACCGUAAAUUCCCUUGAAACUCCUCAUCUUGAGACUAGAAUCUACAAAGACGAACUAAGGUCAAAAUUCUAUUAAGGCAAGAAGAGCAAAAAUAAACUCAGAGCGUGAAGACUCACCUGGAAUUGGAGGGGGGGAUUCACAAAAGUCUGGCACAAAAAAGGUUGGAGUCACUGGUCAAACCUCAUUCAUAAAGCAACUCGCAAUCGAUGAACUUCCAAAAAGCAGAAUCGUCGUUAUUUUGAACUGGAAAAUAAAGGUUCGAACUUUACUGAAAUAAACAUACAGACCUUGAGGGACAUUGUUG